UACGUAGGGUGCAAGCGUUAAUCGGAAUUACUGGGCGUAAAGCGUGCGCAGGCGGUUAUGUAAGACAGUUGUGAAAUCCCCGGGCUCAACCUGGGAACUGCAUCUGUGACUGCAUAGCUAGAGUACGGUAGAGGGGGAUGGAAUUCCGCGUGUAGCAGUGAAAUGCGUAGAUAUGCGGAGGAACACCGAUGGCGAAGGCAAUCCCCUGGACCUGUACUGACGCUCCAUGC
rnacentral:rRNA from 1 species